GAGGGCGGGAAAGAUGAAAGAAUUUUCCAAGAGGUGCGGUCGAAAUUUUCUAAGGGGUGCGGUCGGGAUUUUUCGCGAAAAAUAACACUAAUUUUUUUUUUCAAGGGGUGUGGCCGCCCACCCACGGGCUAAAGUAGGUCCCCGCCCAUGGCUUUAGACAGAGCUCGAAACAAGCUGAGUCAAGGAUGCUUCUUGAUCCUGAGUUAGUUAUAGAAGAUAUUAGUUAAGAUCAUGCUCGCAAAACAGGUAGGGAAGAAUGACGAUGCCACUUAGUCCGAUAGCACAUGCACAAAAGAGGCCAUUUGGCAGUGAUAUACAGAUUGUUAAGUCAGCAUUGUAUGCAUUGUCUCGUAGUGGCGGUAGCAGCAUCACUCAUGGCAUUUGACGGUGCAUUCUACCAUGCUCCUCGCAGAAGUUAGAUGCGGCUGCAAAGCAGGCAAUUGCAAUCCAGAGAAGACCUUGCUUCUUCACUUUCUAACCCGACCCACAAUUAAUUUGGUUUUAUUAUUUGACAAUAAAGAUUCCUAUACAUAAAGGAGUGUUAAGGUGGUGUGAUCGGCUAGGGUGCAAAAACAUUUUCUACACUUGGAGAUGGUGGAAAUUGAGUGUCAAAAAUGGGCAAGUAAAGGUAUAAACAUACACUACCAGGUUAGGGACAAUCGAAAGGGAUAUAAAGCCGGAGCACUCAAAGAAGGUCUAAAGCAUCCCUAUGCUAAUGAAUGUCAAAUCAUUUUUAAUGCGAUCUCUUGCUCUCUCGGUUGACCUUCAUUGUUCAUCAUGUUACAUUUUUUAUGGGCAAACUGCAUAGAUAGGUAAUCAGGCCAAUGAACUUUAUCAAUUGGCGCCUGUAGCUUUCUGCUUGAUAGUCGCAUUGGUUUAACUGUUGUUUUCCUGUCAACCCGCGAUUACACGUGAUGUGUUUGGGUUCAUUUGUGUGACACGAUUUGCGGAUUCGACCUGCCAACCCGUGAAAACGACCCGUUUAGCAGCCCUAAGCCAGAUUACUAGAUUAUGUACUUGGAUGCAUGAAUUCUGUAGAACUAGGAUUACAUACAUUGUCAUAUGUCACAACAACACAUAAGAUGUGAAGUUAUGAGCGACACAGGUCAAACAAGAUAUGUGAUUCAAGAUACGGGUCAUGAUAGCGACGACGAUAUAAGCCAACUGCCGGAUUGUAUUCUUCAUCGUAUUCUCUCAUUUAUUCCCACCAAAGACGUUGUGAAAACUGCCAUACUUUUAAAAAAAUGGAACAUCGUUUGGACUUCUGUUUCAAACCUAGAUUUCGACGACGCAUUGUUGUAGCAUAACGAGGCAGACACUCGGGACCUACCUGACGAAACUUGCUUCAUAAACUUCAUAGAACGCGUUCUCUCGUUACGUGAUGCAUCAAACAUCAAGAACGAGUUUAUCAUGUCGCGUUUUCUUUAACACCUCGUGCAUACAUUCGUGGAUUUCUUCUGCUAUCAUGCACAAUGUCCAGACACUCGAUCUCUGUCUCUUUGCCGAUGAUUCGUUUGUGCACCCGAGCUCCGUGUUUUGUAGUCAAACGUUGACCAGUUUGAAACUACAAAUGAAUUGUGUUCUUGAAUUCCCGACUGUCAUCUAUCUCCCAUAUUUGAAAACCUUGCAUUUAUCUCUCGCUACAUUCGUGAACGACGGCUCAACACAACCGUGGACCAGAAAUUGAAAGUCAAAGUGCGAUUUCUUGAGAUCUUUCAAGAUGAAAAUUGCCCUGUUGAAUUUGGGUAUAAGUCUAAGGUAGUUCUGUUAUUUUAGGAAAAUUGAAAGAGUUGAAGUAUGUCUUUUUGGGAUGUAUGUUCAAAAACUUGGAGCAGAGUAUGAGCAGCCAAAUCAUUUUCGUACAUUGGGCAUCUUUGAAAUCCUGGGACAACUCGUUAGAUCUUGUUAAUGUUCUUAACCAUGAGAUUAAGGACAAGCAUUUAAAAGCUUUAGAGGCAAAAGGGUGCUCAAGGUAUAUAAUGUUUUUUUGGGGCUAAAUUGCACUUUUCGUCCUUUAUGUUUUAGAGUUUCUGCAGGCGCUGUCCUUUAAGUUUAAAAAUUACACUCUAUGUCCUUUAUGUUUGCAACCUAUAACGGGCGGUGUCCUUUCUCAUAAACUCAGUUAAUUUUUUUUUUGUUAAAACCCCUCUUUGUAAAACUCUAUAACAACAGGGACCAUAUGUGUCAAGGGACCUGUUGUGUAAAACCCCUCUUUGUAAAACUUUAAUAAAUCAAGGGACCUGUUGUGUAAAUUCCGAAAAUUUUGAAUAUGUAUCUUGUUCGCCAAGACUGUGCACGUAAAUCUAGCCGGAUCCUUUCGAUCCGUAAAAUCUCUGAAUCAAUCUCGUAAUUGUGUUUCUCUUUUGGUAAAUCAUGAAUCUGGACAUCAUUACAAACCAUUUGCACUCAAAAGCUCCAACCGAAUCGUCUAUUAUCGGACCGAAUUGUCGUUUAUUUGGAAACUAUAUCAAACCGAAUCCCUUAGCGAACUUGUGUUUUCGGGAAUUCUUCUUGCCGGAGUUCUUUAUUUCGCCAAUAACAUACGCAACCAGUAAGUUCUUUGGUUCAUUCUGUUCAGUUUUAUCAAUAGACCAACCGAUGAUUACAUGAUUCGUGGUCUGUUAAGACCGAAAUCGGAUGAAGGGCUUGAUUGUUCAUACUAAUAAACCAGACCUGAUGAUGUGAUGAUUUACCAAAAGAGAAACACAAUUCAUGAGUGCAAAUGGUUUGUAAAUUGAAGGAGCUAAAUUGAAGGAUAUCUAAUACCAUUAAAUAUUAGGAUCAUCUUUGCAUUAAAAUGCUUAAACACCAAAAUUCAGAAUUCUUCAAUUCGCCACUGUCAUCGUUCUGUGAUUGUGAAUGGAACAUUAAACAUGAUUAGUCUGAAUAAACGAUUACAUUAUUUCAUUCUCCGCCACCGUCAAUGAUGUGUUCAAGUUAUGAAUUCGAACCGAAUUUUCGGUUGGAGCUUUUGAGUGCA
rnacentral:lncRNA from 1 species